AGUUCUUGACCUUAAGUGAGCCUCCCACCUCAGCCUCCCAAAGUGCUGGGAUUUAGGGGCGUGAGCCACCUUGUGCGGGUUUUGAAUGAUCUGCCACAACCCUCUUUUUCCCAUAGGCCCUGUUACUCUUAGUGUGCAGUGUGGCAGAGCUCAGGUUUUUUCAGGACUUUAUAUAUGAAGUUCUAGCAGAUACUUUAGCUCCAUUUUCUGCCUUGAAUCUGACUGUCUCCACUCUGUGCUUUCUUGUGCCUCCAUUCUCAGUGUAUUUCCCUGACCUUCCAGUUUCACAGAUUCCUUGGUGUCUUUCUCCGCUGAGAUUUUGUCACGGACACUAUGUGAACCCCUUGUGGCGUCUCUCUGGAUGAAACUGGGGAACACGGGGGCCAUGAGAAGGUGUGUGAAGCUAACAGUCGCUCUUGAGACUGCUGAAUGUGAAUUCCCCCCUCACCUGGAUGUAUAUAUAGAAGACCCACACUUGCCUCCCUCACUAGGACUACUUCCAGGAGCCCGGGUCCACUUCAGCCAGUUGGAGAAAAGGGUUUCCAGGUGAAGAUGUGUAGUGUCACCUGCCU
rnacentral:lncRNA from 10 species